GAUUUCGGGAGGAAACUCCAGGAUUUGGGUCCAAACUUCAAGAUUUGGGUGCAAACUCUGGGACUGGGGCGGAAACCCUGGGAUUGGAGGGGAAACUCCGGGAUUUGGGGUGGAAACCCCAGGAUUGGGGCGCAAACUCCGGGAUUUGGGGUGGAAACUCUGGAUUUGGGGUGGAAACUCCAGAAUUUGGGGUGGAAACUCUGGGAUUUGGGGUGGAAACUCCAGGACUGGGGUGUAAACUCCAGGAUUUGGGGUGGAAACUCCAGGAUUGGGGUGGAAACUCCAGGAUUUGGGGUGGAAACUCUGGGAUUUGGGGUGCAAACUGCAGAAUUUGGGGCGCAAACUCUGGGAUUUGGGGUGGAAACCCCAGGAUUGGGGUGGAAACUCCAGGAUUUGGGGUGGAAACUCUGGGAUUUGGGUGCAAACUCCGGGAUUGGGGUGCAAACUCCGUGUUUUUCCCAUUGCUGGCUCCACAGGGGGGGGUUAAUCUUUGUUUUCCCGGCCCCGUUCCCUGCUGGAAAAGGGUCAGGGGGCCCGAGCGGGGCCGGCGCUGACNNNNNNNNNNNNNNNNNNNNUUCCCUGCUGGAAAAGGGUCAGGGGGCCCGAGCGGGGCCGGCGCUGACGUCGCUCCCGUGGCCUUUGGCUUCUCCCUCCCCCCUCCCGCGGCUCCACGGGGGAAUUUGGGCUCUUUUUGUUUUUGUUGUCGUUGGAAAAAAAAAAAAAGGUGGGGGGAAAAAAAAGGAGGAAGAGCAGGAAAAACGAGCAGAGAGAGAGCGGAACUACCUCGGUCGGGAGGUUUCAAGGAAUGCUUUUGUUUGUAACUGUCUGAAACACAGAAAGAGAAGUCGUGAGAGGACACGGACACACACGGAAAACCGGGAGAAAAGGGCAGGAAAAGCACAACCUCAGGGAGCCAGGGGAGAAUUAGUGCUGGGAAGUGGCAGGACAGGAGGAAGAAGAGAGAAGAAGGAGCUGGCGAAGCCUCCCUCACGUUCCCCAUCCCCUUCUCCCCUGGGUUGGUGGAUUGGGGGCUGGAGGGACAGAGCCCCCGCUCCAGGGGUUUUUGGGAAUUCCCAGCUCCUUAAGGGAGGGCUGGGAAUGGCUCCCAGGGACUGGGAUCCCACUGGAAAACCACUGGGAUGA
rnacentral:lncRNA from 1 species